UGGGGAAUAUUGGACAAUGGGCGCAAGCCUGAUCCAGCCAUGCCGCGUGAGUGAUGAAGGCCCUAGGGUUGUAAAGCUCUUUCACCGGUGAAGAUAAUGACGGUAACCGGAGAAGAAGCCCCGGCUAACUUCGUGCCAGCAGCCGCGGUAAUACGAAGGGGGCUAGCGUUGUUCGGAUUUACUGGGCGUAAAGCGCACGUAGGCGGACUAUUAAGUCAGGGGUGAAAUCCCGGGGCUCAACCCAGGAACUGCCUUUGAUACUGGUAGUCUUGAGUUCGAGUGAGGUGAGUGGAAUUCCGAGUGUAGAGGUGAAAUUCGUAGAUAUUCGGAGGAACACCAGUGGCGAAGGCGGCUCACUGGCUCGAUACUGACGCUGAGGUGCGAAAGCGUGGGGAGCAAACAGG
rnacentral:rRNA from 1 species